CGAAAGCUAGGGGAGCGAAAGGGAUUAGAUACCCCUGUAGUCCUAACUGUAAACGAUGGAUACUAGGCGUUGCUUGUAUCGACCCGAACAGUGCCGAAGCCAACGCGUUAAGUAUCCCGCCUGGGGAGUACGCGCGCACAGUGUGAAACUCAAAGGAAUUGACGGGGGCCCGCACAAGCGGUGGAGUAUGUGGUUUAAUUCGAUGCAACGCGAAGAACCUUACCAGGACUUGACAUGUCGCGAAUCUUCCGGAAAGGGAAGAGUGCCUUAAGGAGCGCGAACACAGGUGGUGCAUGGCUGUCGUCAGCUCGUGUCGUGAGA
rnacentral:rRNA from 1 species